UACGAAGGGUGCAAGCGUUACUCGGAAUUACUGGCGUAAAGCGUGCGUAGGUGGUUCGUUAAGUCUGAUGUGAAAGCCCUGGGCUCAACCUGGGAAUGGCAUUGGAAACUGGCGACCUAGAGUGCGGUAGAGGGUAGUGGAAUUCCCGGUGUAGCAGUGAAAUGCGUAGAGAUCGGGAGGAACAUCUGUGGCGAAGGCGACUGCCUGGACCAGCACUGACACUGAGGCACGAAAGCGUGGGGAGCAAACAGG
rnacentral:rRNA from 1 species